rnacentral:rRNA from 1 species
AACGAACGCUGGCGGCAGGCUUAACACAUGCAAGUCGAACGAAUCCUUCGGGGUGAGUGGCAGACGGGUGAGUAACGCGUGGGAACGUGCCCUUCAGUUCGGGAUAACCCAGGGCAACUUGGGCUAAUACCGGAUACGUGCGAGAGCAGAAGGCUUUAUCGCUGAAGGAUCGGCCCGCGUCUGAUUAGCUAGUUGGUGGGGUAGUGGCCCACCAAGGCGACGAUCAGUAGCUGGUCUGAGAGGAUGAUCAGCCACAUUGGGACUGAGACACGGCCCAAACGCCUACGGGAGGAAGCAGGGGGGAAGAUUGGACAAUGGGCGCAAGCCUGAUCCAGCCAUGCCGCGUGAGUGAUGAAGGCCUUAGGGUUGUAAAGCUCUUUCGUCCGGGACGAUAAUGACGGUACCGGAAGAAGAAGCCCCGGCUAACUUCGUGCCAGCAGCCGCCGUAACAC